CGCGAACUGCACGCUGCAGUCAGGGGCUUCUCAGCAAGUCGCAGCAAUGCAAAAUGUAGUGUGUGUGCGUUCACACGAAUGGGGGGAGAAUUUUGGCAGGGGAGAGAUUUUCGGCACAACACCGCCAAAUCGUACCAAUAUAUCCUUCAAACACCGGCGUCGAGGGCAUUAUCACUUUUAUACAACUCAAAUAAUGAUCGAAAUAUUUUCAUUCAAAACGUUAUUUUUUAUUAAUUUAUAAUUUCAUCCUUACACAAGAUAUAGUCCCGAGACCAAUCUAGGGUUGCUAACCAAGCCGGCUGGGCGUUCGUUCUAUUGGUUUGGUUGCCAGAGACGCGACCCAGUUGUUCAGUCUUUUUGUUCUGUAUCUAUGGGCACGACCCAGUCGUUCAUUCUAAAUGUUCCAUUGCCUUACUGGCUGGCAACGUCCUUAUCCCUUGCUUGCUAGCUAGCCAAUUUACAGUCACGUCAAACAGUGCAGACAGAAAAACAACAGUAGCUGCAUUUGUUUAAGCUGUUUUCUAGUGACAUUUAUUUGGAUUCAUCCAUAACAAUGAGCUAAUGUUAUGUGAGGCGCGAUUUCGUCAGGACACUUGUUCAGAGGAGCUAGCCAACACAAUCACUUCACAUUUUAACUGGAAAGACUGCAAACUACAGUAGCUGCACUUUUUUUCAAUUGCCAUUUUGUGAUGCCAGCUGAUUCAUGAUUUCGACUGGCUGAGAAACGCUGCCUGCCUGUCAAUCUCGUCCCGACUCGUUCAUUACUAUGGGACAGCUGUAGAUUGAAUUUGAAUAUUGAAACAAUAUUGCAAAUAUCGGAGAGACAGACAGCAAGGUUUAUACAAAUUGACUUCAGGGUGCAGUUCGCGGCCGGGCUCAAUGUGGGCGGAGUCAAACGUCGGGGCCGGGCUCAAUGUGGGCGGAGUCAAACGCGUUUAACCCAAAACCUUCCCGUCUCCUUCGAGGUCAAGCAAGUUGAGAAACAUUCCUCGGAUCUUGUCCCCUGGACCUUGGAGGACUUUUGUGGAUGAUGAUCAGGGCCUACCAAAGCAAGGUUUCUCAAACAACUGUGGGGUGUUUGUUUUGAUGGAAAACAUGCAGCAAAUUAGGCGAUGUUGAUGCCUUAUUCUCCUGCAGAACUUUCCCAUGCCACGAUACUCAAAACAAAAUGCACGCCGAACUGGGAGCUGUGAACUGGGAAGCAGAUGUUCUUCUAAGGGACACCCUAGAGGCAGCAAGGUGAUGUGAACUCCAAACAUUUAAAGGCACUGUUUCCCUCCCUAGUGUAAUUGGGAUGGAAGGGGAAGACCGCAUUACAACCCUUAAAGAACUACAGUUGUAUGAUGGCCUGGAUGAAGAGAAAAAUGUUCUCCUCAAGGAACCAUUCAUGUUACAGAGAGAUUAUGAGUUGUUCUAUUUGGAGGCAGUUGACAACAAGAAAAUUACUGUCUUUGUCUCUUUUGAGGAGCAAAGCCAUUUUUGAGGAGUGGUUAAACUUUGUCUGCUGUGUUAAUUGUUUCAAUUGUUAAUUGUGUUGUUUAGUAAAGAUGACGUAGAAGUCAGCCGAGUCUGAUCUCUUUACUGGAGCUGGUAUAACUUAAUGUGCAAAGCACAUUCAGCUUGUCAGUAUAUCUAUAUGGUAUAGUCUGUCUCCAUUCUCAUGAGGAAAGUAAAUAACAUUAUAAAUCAGGAUGGGUAGUAACUGUGUGUAUAUAUGCUCAAUUAAAUAAUAUAAUUACAAAGUUAUAACAUUUAUCAACACAAUUUUAACAGUACAUAACAAGUCUGCUGUUCACUGCAACAAUUUCAGUAGUUUGUCUCAAAUAUAGUAUGACGCAAAAAGUGUUACAUCUGCUGGUACUUUAUAUAAUAUUUCUUACAAUCUUCAAAAAUGAAAUAUGUUUUUAUUCAACUUGUGCCUUGCGCAAAUGAGUGUUACUGUCAAACAUCAGAUGGACAAUAAAAAGGUGGGCAGGGUCAAAUGUGGGCAGAGUCAAACGUUUGACUCCGCCCACAUUGAACCCAGCCCCGAACUGCACACUGCAGUCAGGGGUACGUGGACUUGCUUGCUAGUUGAGAUUUCUGCUCUUCACUCCAUUGUCAGUUUAGCCUACAUUUCACUGAUCUUAGUAGCAGAAAGUAUUUUUUAUAUGUGUCCUUCAAGGCAGCUGUCAAUGAUCACGUUAGGCUGCGUUUCAUUUGAUUUGUUAUGGCGGUUUGAUCGCGGAGGAGGCACUAGUAAUGUCUGCAGUUUUCGGUUUGUCAUUUUGUUUCAAGUGUAUUAGUCUAUAAAUAAAUCUCUUUGCCAAAAUUCAUCUCUCCCAUGUCUUAUUCAACUAGUAGUUGUUCUGAAAUGUUUGCUUGCCUACAUUUUACUCGGUUUAAUACAACACACAUUAA
rnacentral:lncRNA from 1 species